ACGGCAGCACAGUAAGAGCUUGCUCUUAUGGGUGGCGAGUGGCGGACGGGUGAGGAAUACAUCGGAAUCUACUUUUUCGUGGGGGAUAACGUAGGGAAACUUACGCUAAUACCGCAUACGACCUUCGGGUGAAAGCAGGGGACCUUCGGGCCUUGCGCGAUUGAAUGAGCCGAUGUCGGAUUAGCUAGUUGGCGGGGUAAAGGCCCACCAAGGCGACGAUCCGUAGCUGGUCUGAGAGGAUGAUCAGCCACACUGGAACUGAGACACGGUCCAGACUCCUACGGGAGGCAGCAGUGGGGAAUAUUGGACAAUGGGCGCAAGCCUGAUCCAGCCAUACCGCGUGGGUGAAUAAGGCCUUCGGGUUGUAAAGCCCUUUUGUUGGGAAAAAUACCAC
rnacentral:rRNA from 1 species